UUUAUGUUUUAGCUGUGUGUGGAUGUUGUUGUGUUAUGUCGUUUUCUGCGCAGGUGCAGCUUGAUGAGAUCCAUGAAGACAAGACGCAGCAGUGGAGGAGGUGGAGGAGGUGGAGGAAAGACAAUGGGACUAAGAACCAGAGCAGCCUUCUUCUACAUCGACAAACAUAUUGCAGGAGAAGAGGAGGAUGGGGGAGAAUAGUGGAGGGGAGUGGAGUCCUCUACAUACACAACCCUCUACACAGCAGUGUCUUAUUUCCUGGGUUACUGACCCUCUGAAUGUGGCCCUGGCUCAAAUUACAAGACUUACUUCACUUCAGAGAAUGAGUUUGCUGUUUCCUGUCUUUGGAUUGACCCUCAUCUUAAUGGCUACCGAAAAGGGGUGUGGUCGUUGUGGAGCAAACUAAUGAGAGAGAACAAUGGAUCCGCCGCUGGGGAUAAGAAGACUAAUAAUGUGUUUGCUGAAGGAAGACAAACACCCAAAUAAACAGAAGAGCUCAACAGUGGGACCUUGCUGUUUCACAACUAGUGAACACUACACAUUCUCCCUUUACAAUUUAUAGACCAGGGGUCCAACUACAGGGAUGUAAACCAUCCCUUUUCAGGUUACUGUACCACCAAGAGUCAGUCGUUGACCUUUCAGGGCUAUGUCUGCCUGUCUCCCAAUAAGGAUUAGUCUAGAACACAUUAACAGUAACAGAGGGGUCUGAUGACCACAACGUAACAACAAGGAUUAGUCUAGAACACAUUAACAGUAACAGAGGGGUCUGAUGACCACAACAUAACAACAAGGAUUAGUCUAGAACACAUUAACAGUAACAGAGGGGUCUGAUGACCACAACAUAACAACAAGGAUUAGUCUAGAACACAUUAACAGUAACAGAGGGGUCUGAUGACCACAACAUAACAACAAGGAUUAGUCUAGAACACAUUAACAGUAACAGAGGGGUCUGAUGACCACAACAUAACAACAAGGAUUAGUCUAGAACACAUUAACAGUAACAGAGGGGUCUGAUGACCACAACAUAACAACAAGGAUUAGUCUAGAACACAUUAACAGUAACAGAGGGGUCUGAUGACCACAACAUAACAAUGAUGACCUGAUAAUCCUGCAAUGAAUAAAUGGAGUCCAUGGUUUGAUGGUUUGAUUCACUCAUAAAGUGUGUGAAAGACAAGACUGCCGCAUAUUCGAAAUGUAAGAAAAUGUUCAUCAGGUUUUUGGAAAUGAUGGAGGCUAACUACUGUACUGAUAAUACCAUGAUAUUGUAAAUACAAGAAACGAGUAAACAAAUAUUUCUAUA